GUAUUUUAUGAAAGGAGAGGUUAGCACUCCCCUUGAAAGGGAUGGAAGAGGCCCUCAGGCCUGACAACAUGCAUAUGGUUAAGGACAGGUAGAUAGCCACAUAUGAAAGAAUGAAGUUGGACCUCUACCUAAAACUAUAU
ensembl:snRNA